GAUCCUGGCUCAGGAUGAACGCUAGCUACAGGCUUAACACAUGCAAGUCGAGGGGCAGCAUGGACCCAGCUUUGCUGGGUUUGAUGGCGACCGGCGCACGGGUGAGUAACGCGUAUCCAACCUGCCCUUUACUCCUUGAUAGUCUCCUGAAAGGGAGUUUAAUACCGGAUGUGUUUGUCUUUCCGCAUGGGAGCGACAAAUAAAGAUUAAUUGGUAAAGGAUGGGGAUGCGUCCCAUUAGCUUGUUGG
rnacentral:rRNA from 1 species